rnacentral:rRNA from 1 species
UACGGGGGGGGCAAGCGUUAUCCGGAAUUAUUGGGCGUAAAGCGUCCGUAGGUGGCUAGUCAAGUCUGCGGUCAAAGACUGGGGCUUAACCCUGGAAAGGCCGUGGAAACUGACGAGCUAGAGUGCAGUAGGGGUAGAGGGAAUUCCCGGUGUAGCGGUGAAAUGCGUAGAGCUCGGGAAGAACAUCGGUGGCGAAAGCGCUCUACUGGACUGCAACUGACACUCAGGGACGAAAGCUAGGGGAGCGAAUGGG